AGAGUUUGAUUCUGGCUCAGAACGAACGCUGGCAGCGUGGAUUAGGCAUGCAAGUCGAACGUGAAGCCGAUGAUCGAUCUUUCGGGAGAGUGAUUCGGUGGAAAGUGGCGAAAGGGUGAGUAACGCGUGGGUAAGCUAUCUUGAAGUUCGGGACAACCCGCCGAAAGGCAGGCUAAUACCGAAUGUGGUCUUUGGAUGCAUAUCCGGAUGAUUAAAGGUGGGGCUCCUUUGGGACCUGCCGCUUUUAGAGGUGCCCGCGUGCCAUCAGCUUGUUGGUAGGGUAACGGCCUACCAAGGCUUACGGCUAGCCGGCCUGAGAGGGUGACCGGCCACACUGGGACUGAGACACUGCCCAGACUCCUACGGGAGGCUGCAGUCGAGGAUCAUUCGCAAUGCGCGAAAGCGUGACGAUGCGACGCUGCGUGGAGGAUGAAGGCCUUCGGGUCGUAAGCUCCUGUCAUGAGGGAAAAGCAAUUUCACCCCGAAUACGGGUGGAAUCCGAUGGUACCUCAAGAGGAAGCCACGGCUAACUCUGUGCCAGCAGCCGCGGUAAUACAGAGGUGGCGAGCGUUGUUCGGAUUUACUGGGCGUAAAGGGUGCGUAGGUGGUUUUGUAUGUCGGAUGUGAAAGCCCAUGGCUCAACUGUGGAAUUGCAUUCGAAACUGCGGAACUAGAGUGCAGGAUGGGAGAGCGGAAUUCUUGGUGUAGCGGUGAAAUGCGUUGAUAUCAAGAAGAACACCGGUGGCGAAGGCGGCUCUCUGGAAUGUCACUGACACUGAGGCACGAAAGCUGGGGGAGCAAACAGGAUUAGAUACCCUGGUAGUCCCAGCCGUAAACGGUGCACACUUGGUGUGGGGAGAUUUAACCCUCUCCGUGCCGGAGCUAACGCGUUAAGUGUGCCGCCUGGGGAGUACGGCCGCAAGGCUAAAACUCAAAGAAAUUGACGGGGGCCCGCACAAGCGGAGGAGCAUGUGGCUUAAUUCGAUGCAACGCGAAGAACCUUACCAGGGCUUGACAUAUACCUGCACGCCCCUCGAAAGGGGGGAAGCCUUUGAGGGUGGUAUACAGGUGCUGCAUGGCUGUCGUCAGUUCGUGCUGUGAGGUGUUGGGUUAAGUCCCGUAACGAACGCAACCCUUGUGGUUAGUUGCCACCGGCGGUGAUGAGCCGCCGAGCACUCUAGCCAGACUGCCCGUACAAGCGGGAGGAAGGUGGGGAUGACGUCAAGUCAGUAUGGCCCUUACGC
rnacentral:rRNA from 1 species